GAGGAAUUGGGUCCUGCCAAAUCUGGGAGGGUAUGAGCGGAGACGGGGCGUUGGCCCUUGGAAGCGGCCAGAGAAUCUUCUGGGGAGGACCUGCCAAUGGUCAAGUUCUUUCUGGGCCAAGAAAAUGAAAGGGUGUUUAGACUGCCGGUAGGUGGUGAACAGAGAGGUCAGCUUUAAAGGGCCUGGACGGUGUAAGCAUGGCCUGGGGAUGGGCCCCAGAGAGAAUGCAGCUCUCCUAAGCCAGCAUUUACUGAGACCCUAAGAGGAGAAAAUUCUAGAUUCUUAAGAAAGUUCCAGUGAAGCUCCACUCAUCCAGGAAAAGAAGUCUGGGCCGUUUCAGACUUCCAUCUACAAUUUCUGAGAAGAUUUUUCAUGAAAAAGAAAAUGUGUUCACGGAACGGACUCCAAAAACCUUGCAAAUGUGCCCAGGAUGUUAUUCCUUCGGUGUAAGUAACUUCAAAACAUCUGUAAAUUCCAGCCAACUCUUCAUGCCCCAGAUCUCUCUGUGCUUUAACACUUUGUGAAAAUUAAUCAAUCGGAUGACAUUGCGAUUCAAUGUGAGGAAUUAGGACAAUGACGAAUUAAGGAAGCGUUUGUUUUUGGAAGACAGCAUACAGGCUGGGUACCAGGAAGCUGACACUUGUAGACGUGCGGAAACUACACGGUGGGUUUGAGGAAAGUUGGUGAGAAGGGCUUCUUGGAGGCAUUCUCUGAUGGAAAUAACAAAGAGCCAUGUAUGGAAGACCAGGAUAUCUGGGCACUAGCCUGGUCCCUGCCACUAACUAGCUGUGUGUCUUUGGAUAGCUCAUUUACAUAUACAUUCCUCAAAUAUCGAAAGCACCAGGAUAGGGGAAAAGACACAAGUGGCACUAUCUGGUGUUGCUUAGCAUUUCUUGGGGGGAGGCUGCGGACUAUAGAAGCCCCGUUCAGCGCGGCUCAGUAUCGAGCGUGCACCGCGGGAAGGCAUUACGGAGUUGUAGAGGCUCCAGGAGGAUGCAGACAGAGAGAGAAGAGCCGGGCACAGGUAGAAAGGGGAGGGAGGGACCACACAUGCAAAUCUGGGGAGGCGUGCGUCAUAUAUCUGUGCGCAGGGGUUUUUUAAGGAUGUGGCAUGGAGAGAAGUAGGCUUGACUGUUGCACUUGACAGUUCAUUCAACAAAUAAUGAUCCAGCCCUUAGCACGUACUGGGCAACAUGUAAGGGACCGGGACACAGCCGGGAACAAGGCAGAGAAAGUCCCCACCUUGGCAGAAAUCACAUGGGUGCAGGGGAAGGAAAAAACAAUAAAGAGGACAGCUGAAGACGGAGUAUGGGAACAAGAGGUGUAGA